AAAUUCUAACCCCAGCAUUUUGAAGAAGUCUAUAUUUUUAAAAAUUCUGCUGUGGACAGGAGCAUAAAAAUUUUUUCCACUUGGUUUUCUAAAUGCUAUCUUGUUAGCAAUCAACCUUUUGGGAACAAUA
rnacentral:snoRNA from 1 species